rnacentral:tRNA from 1 species
GGAGCUGUGGCUCAAGUGGUAGAGUGCUUGCCUUGCAUGCAUGAAGCCCUGGGUUUGUAUUCCUCAGCACCA